GCCAGCAGCUAUAUCACCCUGCAGCUCUCAACUGGCUACCCACUGAAGCUAAGCAGGGUUAAGCCUGGUCAGUACCUAGACGGGAGACCUUGUGGGAAGCUAUGGUUGCUGCUAGAA
rnacentral:rRNA from 1 species